rnacentral:rRNA from 1 species
UGAGGAAUAUUGCACAAUGGGCGCAAGCCUGAUGCAGCGACGCCGCGUGGGUGAUGAAGGUCUUCGGAUCGUAAAGCCCUUUUCUGCGUGACGAGACAGGACGGUAGCGCAGGAAUAAGUCUCGGCUAACUACGUGCCAGCAGCCGCGGUAAAACGUAGGAGACGAACGUUAUCCGGAGUUACUGGGCGUAAAGGGCGUGUAGGCGGUUUGUUAAGUCUGGCGUGAAAGCUCUCGGCUAAACCGGGAGAGGUCGUUGGAUACUGGCGAACUAGAGGAUGGUAGAGGCGUGUGGAAUUCCGGGUGUAGUGGUGAAAUGCGUAGAGAUCCGGAGGAACACCAGUGGCGAAGGCGACACGCUGGGCCAUACCUGACGCUAAAGCGCGACAGCAUGGGGAGCAAACGGGAUUAGAUACCCCAGUAGUCCCUGAGCGGGCUGGCAAGGCGCAU